AUGGCAGAGCUGGUGGUCACCAUGGCGAUCGGGCCACUGGUGUCCAUGCUGAAGGACAAGGCGUCCAGCUACCUCCUGGACCAGUACAAGGUCAUGGAGGGAAUGGAGGAGCAGCACAAGAUUCUGAAACGCAAGCUUCCGGCCAUCCUCGACGUCAUCACCGAUGUCGAGGAGCAGGCCAUGGCACAGAGAGAAGGUGCCAAAGCCUGGCUUCAGGAGCUCAGGACAGUCGCCUAUGUGGCAAAUGAAGUCUUCGACGAAUUCAAGUACGAAGCCCUACGCCGUGAAGCCAAGAAGAAUGGGCACUACAGAAAGCUCGGCUUCGAUGUAAUUAAACUCUUCCCUACUCACAACCGUGUUGCAUUCCGUUACAAAAUGGGUCGCAAGCUUUGCCUGAUUCUGCAAGCCGUUGAGGUCCUCAUAGCAGAGAUGCAGGUCUUUGGGUUCAAGUACCAACCACAGCCACCGGUGUCCAAAGAGUGGAGGCAUACAGAUUAUGUUAGCAUUGACCCACAAGAAAUUGCCAGCAGAUCCAGACACGAAGAUAAGAAGAACAUUAUUGGUAUACUAGUUGAUGAAGCUAGCAAUGCAGAUCUCACAGUUGUUCCUGUGGUUGCAAUGGGGGGCCUUGGCAAGACCACAUUAGCGCAACUCAUAUACAAUGAUCCUGAAAUUCAGAAGCAUUUCCAGUUGCUGCUCUGGGUUUGUGUCUCUGAUACCUUUGAUGUGAACUCCUUGGCCAAGAGUAUAGUUGAAGCAUCCCCCAAUAAGAAUGUUGAUACAGACAAACCACCAUUGGAUAGACUUCAAAAACUGGUCAGCGGACAGCGGUAUCUCCUUGUAUUGGAUGAUGUUUGGGACAACAAAGAGUUACGUAAGUGGGAAAGGCUCAAGGUUUGCUUGCAUGGUGGCAUGGGCAGUGCAGUGUUGACAACAACUCGUGAUAAACGAGUUUCUGAAAUUAUGGGUGCAGACAGGGCUGCCUACAAUCUCAAUGCUUUGGAGGAUCACUUCAUAAAGGAAAUUAUUGUGGAUAGAGCAUUCAGUUCAGAGAAUGGAAAGCCUCCCGAGCUACUCGAGAUGGUUGGUGAGAUUGUGAAGAGAUGUUGUGGCUCUCCAUUAGCUGCAAGUGCACUGGGCUCUGUACUUCGUACCAAGACCACCGUGAAAGAAUGGAAUGCUAUAGCAUCUAGAAGCAGCAUUUGCACUGAGGAAACUGGAAUCUUGCCAAUACUCAAGCUUAGCUACAACGACUUGCCAUCGCACAUGAAGCAGUGCUUUGCUUUUUGUGCUGUAUUUCCAAAGGAUUACAAGAUUGAUGUAGCGAAGUUGAUCCAACUAUGGAUCGCAAAUGGCUUUAUCCCUGAACACAAGGAAGAUAGUCUUGAAACCAUUGGACAACUUAUUUUUGAUGAGCUUGCUUCAAGGUCAUUCUUUCUGGAUAUAGAGAAGAGUAAAGAAGACUGGGAGUAUUAUUCCAGAACAACAUGUAAAAUCCACGAUCUUAUGCAUGAUAUUGCAAUGUCUGUUAUGGAAAAGGAAUGUGUUGUUGCAACUAUGGAACCAAGUGAAAUUGAGUGGCUUCCAGAUACUGCUCGGCAUUUGUUCUUGUCAUGUGAAGAAACGGAACGUAUUUUGAAUGAUUCUAUGGAGGAAAGAUCCCCUGCUAUUCAAACAUUGCUAUGUGAUAGUAAUGUGUUCAGCCCAUUGCAGCAUCUAUCAAAAUACAACACUUUGCAUGCCUUGAAGCUCUGUCUGGGAACAGAAUCAUUUCUACUCAAACCAAAGUAUCUGCAUCACCUGAGGUACCUUGAUCUCUCAGAAAGUUCUAUCAAAGCACUUCCUGAGGAUAUAAGUAUUCUAUAUAACCUGCAAGUGCUGGACCUUUCCAACUGCUGUUAUCUUGAACGACUUCCAAGGCAAAUGAAGUAUAUGACUUCCCUCUGCCACCUCUACACUCAUGAAUGUCCAGAGUUGAAGAGCAUGCCUCCAGGACUUGAAAAUCUCACUAAGCUGCAGACACUCACAGUUUUUGUAGCAGGAGUUCCUGGCCCUGAUUGCGCUGAUGUUGGAGAGCUGCAUGGUCUAAACAUUGGUGGUCAGCUAGAGCUAUGCCAGGUAGAGAAUGUUGAAAAAGCAGAAGCAAAAGUGGCAAACCUUGGAAACAAGAAGGAUCUCAGAGAACUGUCAUUAAGAUGGACUAAGGUUGGCGACAGCAAGGUGCUCGACAAGUUCGAACCUCAUGGUGGGCUGCAGGUUCUGCAAAUAUAUUCAUAUGGAGGAGAGUGCAUGGGUAUGUUGCAAAACAUGGUUGAGAUCCACCUUUUUCACUGUGAAAGAUUGCGAUUUUUGUUCAGAUGCAGUACAAUCUUCACUUUUCCAAGACUGAAGGUGCUUACGCUAGAACAUUUGUUGGCUUUUGAGAGAUGGUGGGAAAUAGAUGAGUGGCAAGUAGAACAGACAAUAUUUCCUGUGCUUGAGAAGUUGUUUAUGAGCAAUUGUGGAAAGUUGGUAGCAUUACCCGAAGCACCAUUGCUGCGAGGACCUUGUGGUGAGGGUGGUUAUACAUUGGUACACUCAGCGUUUCCUGCCCUAAAGGUACUCAAAAUGGAAGAUUUGGAGAGCUUUCGGAGAUGGGAUGCAGUCGAAGAGACUCAAGGAGAACAGAUAUUGUUUCCUUGUCUUGAGGAACUGUCAAUUGAGAAAUGCCCAGAGCUGAUAAAUUUACCUGAAGCACCAUUGCUUGAAGAACCAUGUAGCGGAGGUGGUUAUAGAUUGGUACGUUCAGCCUUUCCUGCCCUCAAGGUGCUCAAAAUGAAAUGCUUGGGGAGUUUUCAGAGAUGGGAUGGUGCUGCCAAAGGUGAACAAAUAUUUUUUCCACAGCUUGAGAAACUAUCAGUUCAGCAAUGCCCAAUGUUGAUAGAUUUACCUGAGGUACCAAAAAUCAGUGUGUUAGAAAUUGAAGAUGGCAAGCAAGAGAUCUUCCAGUUUGUGGACAGAUAUUUGUCCUCAUUGACCAAUCUGAUACUGGAGCUAAAAAAUACAGAAACAACAUCAGAGGCUGAAUGCACUUCAAUUCUACCUGUGGACAGCAAAGAGAAAUGGAACCAGAAAUCCCCUCUUACAGUUCUGGAGUUGGGAUGCUGCAACUCAUUCUUUGGACCAGGUGCACUAGAGCCGUGGGGCUAUUUUGUACACCUUGAAAACUUGGAAAUUGAUAGAUGUGAUGUGCUCGUCCACUGGCCAGAGAAUGUGUUCCAAAGCUUGGUAUCCUUGAGGACAUUACUGAUUAGAAACUGCAAAAAUCUGACUGGAUAUGCACAAGCUCCUCUUGAGCCAUUGGCAUCCGAAAGGAGUGAACACCCGAGAGGUCUGGAGUCUCUUUGCUUAGAAAGAUGCCCAAGUUUAGUAGAGAUGUUCAACGUCCCGGCAUCUCUCAAGAAAAUGGGUAUUUAUGGGUGCAUUAAGCUUGAGUCCAUAUUGGGCAAGCAGCAGGGCAUGGCAGAGUUAGUCCAAGUGUCUUCUAGCAAUGAGGCAAUCAUGCCUGCAGCUGUAUCAGAGUUGCCAUCCUCACCCAUGAAUCACUUUUGUCCAUGCCUAGAAUAUCUAUGUUUAUUUGGAUGUGAAAGCUUACCAGCGGUUCUACAUCUGCCUUUGUCCUUAAAGACCAUAUGGAUUGAUGGCUGCAGUAGUAUUCAAGUCCUAUCAUGCCAGCUGGGUGGGCUCCAGAAACCAGAAGCCACUACCUCCAGAAGCAGAAGUCCUAUCAGCAACUAG
rnacentral:rRNA from 1 species